rnacentral:rRNA from 1 species
GCUUAACACAUGCAAGUCGAGCGGAAACGAUGAUAGCUUGCUAUCAGGCGUCGAGCGGCGGACGGGUGAGUAAUACUUAGGAAUCUACCUAGUAGUGGGGGAUAGCACGGGGAAACUCGUAUUAAUACCGCAUACGACCUACGGGAGAAAGGGGGCAGUUUACUGCUCUCGCUAUUAGAUGAGCCUAAGUCGGAUUAGCUAGAUGGUGGGGUAAAGGCCUACCAUGGCGACGAUCUGUAGCUGGUCUGAGAGGAUGAUCAGCCACACCGGGACUGAGACACGGCCCGGACUCCUACGGGAGGCAGCAGUGGGGAAUAUUGGACAAUGGGGGAAACCCUGAUCCAGCCAUGCCGCGUGUGUGAAGAAGGCCUUUUGGUUGUAAAGCACUUUAAGCAGUGAAGAAGACUCCGUGGUUAAUACCCACGGACGAUGACAUUAGCUGCAGAAUAAGCACCGGCUAACUCUGUGCCAGCAGCCGCGGUAAUACAGAGGGUGCAAGCGUUAAUCGGAAUUACUGGGCGUAAAGGGAGCGUAGGUGGCUCGAUAAGUCAGAUGUGAAAUCCCCGGGCUCAACCUGGGAACUGCAUCUGAUACUGUUGAGCUAGAGUAUGUGAGAGGAAGGUAGAAUUCCAGGUGUAGCGGUGAAAUGCGUAGAGAUCUGGAGGAAUACCGAUGGCGAAGGCAGCCUUCUGGCAUAAUACUGACACUGAGGCUCGAAAGCGUGGGUAGCAAACAGGAUUAGAUACCCUGGUAGUCCACGCCGUAAACGAUGUCUACUAGUCGUUGGGUCCCUUGAGGACUUAGUGACGCAGCUAACGCAAUAAGUAGACCGCCUGGGGAGUACGGCCGCAAGGUUAAAACUCAAAUGAAUUGACGGGGGCCCGCACAAGCGGUGGAGCAUGUGGUUUAAUUCGAUGCAACGCGAAGAACCUUACCUGGUCUUGACAUAUCUAGAAUCCUGCAGAGAUGCGGGAGUGCCUUCGGGAAUUAGAAUACAGGUGCUGCAUGGCUGUCGUCAGCUCGUGUCGUGAGAUGUUGGGUUAAGUCCCGCAACGAGCGCAACCCUUGUCCUUAGUUACCAGCGGGUUAAGCCGGGAACUCUAAGGAUACUGCCAGUGACAAACUGGAGGAAGGCGGGGACGACGUCAAGUCAUCAUGGCCCUUACGACCAGGGCUACACACGUGCUACAAUGGUAGGUACAGAGGGCAGCUACACAGCGAUGUGAUGCGAAUCUCAAAAAGCCUAUCGUAGUCCAGAUUGGAGUCUGCAACUCGACUCCAUGAAGUAGGAAUCGCUAGUAAUCGCGGAUCAGAAUGCCGCGGUGAAUACGUUCCCGGGCCUUGUACACACCGCCCGUCACAC